rnacentral:lncRNA from 10 species
AAACUGAUUUCAUUAAGAAUAUUCUCAAGUAUGUUGGCAUUUUUUAUUGCAGCACUUGUUCAUUAUCAAUCUCAGAACUAGAGAAGUAGAAUUGUUGAACCAAGAACCUGGACUCUGAAUCUUCAGGGAGGCAAUGUCUGACUGCGAAGAGCAGAGCAGCUGAAGGCUCCUUCCCCAGCUACAGACACCUCUAGACCUUGACUCCUUAGACAAGAGGCGCCAGUGGUUUCACAGAUCUAUGUGCUUAGUACAAAAGGAAGAAAAGGCCACCACCACCUCAAUACGACUGCAGGAAGUCAUGGUAGAGGUUCACAUCCAAAGAGACCACAUUAAACCAGGAUUUAAGAAGUUAGAACUCAAAAGUCUUACUUUCAAGUCACAACUUUGAUUUGGGAGGUCCACUUAAACCUCACAUUAACUUUCUCUCUUUGUUUUAUCUUGCUGGCUAUGUAUCCUUGGGCAAGUUCUUUUCUUGACCUCCCUCAACCCCAGGCUCCUCAUUACAUCUA